UAGCCUUUCUUCAAGCACUUGCUAUGCCCUUUUUUUUUAUAGUGCACUAGGUGGCCAAGCCUUAUAGUCUAAAGUGUUCGUGCACCUUUUCUUGUGUUAGGCUGAUCUAGGACAUGGAAGAGUCUAUUCCCAUGUCCUAGAGCUGCGUAAGCUUAGAGUUUGAGUCUCAACCUAUGACAAGUGGUAUCAAAGCCUAGUUUAGGAGAGCUAGGAGUAGGUGAUAAAACCAAAUACCAUAGGGUAUUAAAGCCUAGAUCAAACUAGAAAUGGUGACCAAAGCCUUGGUUUGGAGUGUGUAAUAGAUCCUUGCUCAUGACAAGAGGAGCUAGAGUUGGCUAGGAAGCCAAAGUUGUCAUUGAUACAGGUUAAAGGACUUACGUGAGGGCAUCUUAGUGUGGUGUGUAGGCAUUGUAGUGAGUUAUGCAAACAUCUUACUAUGUGUGUAGACAUUAGAUUGUGUGGUGCAGGUAGUUUGCUACUAGGUGAGAGCAUCCUAGAAUGGCUGCUGUGCUCGUGUGCUAUUGAAAUGUUCCUGAUGUGCUAGGUACAACCAUGCUAGAAUAUAGGACAAGUGCUUGACAAAGUGUUGCUAUAUGCUGUAGGUGUGCUAGGCGUGCUGUGUGGGUGUGUGGGUAUGCAGACUGGUGCCAAACUUAGAGGUUGGUGUGUUAAGCAAAUGUACAAACUACAGCCUAAUAGUGUGUGCUAUACUAGUGUGCCAUGCUAACAAAUUGGUGUGUUGGUUUGUGGGAGCUAGAACUAGAUCACUUAAGUGCCUACUAGAGUUAAGGUAAUCCUUUGUUUUGUGCAUUUGUGGUUUAACAAUUUAUGUGUUUUGGGCUAUGGUAUGGCUAGGGAAAACUAAAUAGGGGGCUAUUCUAUAGAUAAUAGAUUGGUUCAAAUAUGUUGAGGAAUCUUUGAAUAAGGCAAUGGAGAAUCUCAUCCAGCAUAAUGAGGCAUUGGAGUCCAUGGUGUCAACCUUACAGAAGGAGCUAGCCAGGCUAAAGGUUGACCAUGCUGUAUUAUGAGCUACCGUGGUUGUUGGUGUAAGCUUAGGACUGAGAGUGGAGAUGCCUAAGCAUUUCAUGGAUGGAGUAAAGCUAUGGGUAAAGGUCAAGUUGCAAUGAAUAGGUAUGUAGGAGUCAAGUUGGGCUAAAGUUGCUGCUGAAUUGAUUGCUUAGGUUGAGUGCACCAAGUCUCCAAGGUCAAAGGGGAAAGGCCAGAGUAGAGGAGACACUGGUGGUAAUUCCUUAGGGGAGGAAAAGGCUACAGGAAGCCUAGAUUUCAUAGGGCCUUUAGAGCCACCACUAUGGGCAAAGGGGCCUUGAGUUACUAUUUUUAUGCCAGUCCACAUAGAGUCGGGGAAUGCCCAAAGCUUUCAGCCAUUAUGUGAUUUUUGCCCAAUGCUCUAAAUGUCAAAGUGAAGAAAUUCAACCAAGUGCGACGAGGGUAACUAUGACUCUUUUAAGGUAGCCAAAUGCCUCGCCAUCUAAUUAGUGACAUGCAUGAUCGGAUUAAUGAGAUUCCUACUAUCACUGUCUACUAUCCAAUGAAAUGACAGCUAGGGGGACAAGCAUAGUGAAAUCAAAAGGGAAAGAAGACCUUGUUGAGCUUUACUCUAGUCUAACUUUAUGAAUUAACUUGAAAGGUGUAGGAUAAGUGGAAACCAUAAGGCAAAAUUGAAAUACCAUUACUUUUAAUGUUAUUUUACUUAUUUUAUGAAUCAGAAGUGAGCCACGAUCCCUUUUUUUAGACCCAAGGCUGGCCUCAGUCGAUCAAUCCAGGCAAAAGACAUUGUCAGGUGGGGAGUUUGGCUAGGGUGGCACAUCUGUUAAAGGACAACGCAGGUGUCCUAAGAUGUGCUUAACGAGAAUAGAAAUCUCAUGUAGAAUAAAAGGGUAAAAGCCUGUUUGAUUUUGAUUUCCAAUAUGAAUACGAAGCAUGAAAGCAUGGCUGAUCAAUCCUUUAGACCUUUAAAAUUUGAAGCUAGAGGUGUUAGAAAAGUUACCACAAGAUAAAUGGAUAGUGGCAGCUAAGCAUUCAUAGCGAUGUUGCUUUUUUAUCUUCUGAUUUCGGCUCUUCCUAUCAUUAUGAAGCAGAAUUCACCAAGUGUUGGAUUGUUUACCCAUCAAUAGGGAACAUGAGUUGGGUUUAGACCAUCAUGAGAUAGGUUAGUUUUACCCUACUGAUGGUAGCAUUGCAAUAGUAAUUCAACCUAGUAUGAAAGGAAUUAUUGAUUCAUGCUAUUGGUCAUCGCACUUUAUUGAAAAGCCAAUGGUGCUAAGCUACCAUGUGCUAGAUUAUAACUGAAUGCCUCUAAGUUAGAAUUAGGACUAGAAGCAAUGCAUGCACCCGUCGCCUAAUUGCCAACCCAUAGUAAAGGUCCAUGACCCCCAAAGGCACGUGUCAUAGGUGUAGCCCUCAUGGUAGACAAGCCAUCUGAGCCUCUUAGAGCUCAAUUCCCACCAAGUGACAGGUAAAAUCUUUUACAUAUGACUUAAAUAUGCAAUAGGGUAUUGUUAGUGGUAGAGUGGCCUUGCUACCAUGAUCCACUAAGAUUCA
rnacentral:rRNA from 1 species